GAUGAAGAACGCAGCGAAAUGCGAUAAGUAAUGUGAAUUGCAGAAUUCAGUGAAUCAUCGAAUCUUUGAACGCACAUUGCGCCCGCCAGUAUUCUGGCGGGCAUGCCUGUUCGAGCGUCAUUACAACCCUCAGGCCCCCGGGCCUGGCGUUGGGGAUCGGCGGAAGCCCCCUGCGGGCACAACGCCGUCCCCCAAAUACAGUGGCGGUCCCGCCGCAGCUUCCAUUGCGUAGUAGCUAACACCUCGCAACUGGAGAGCGGCGCGGCCACGCCGUAAAACACCCAACUUCUGACUGUUGACCUCGAAUCAGGUAGGAAUACCCGCUGAACUUAAGCAUAUCAAUAAGCGGAGGA
rnacentral:misc_RNA from 1 species